ACGGAGGAUCCGAGCGUUAUCCGGAUUUAUUGGGUUUAAAGGGUGCGUAGGCGGCAUGCUAAGUCAGGGGUGAAAUUCGGCAGCUUAACUGUCGGCGUGCCUUUGAUACUGGCGUGCUUGAAUGCGGAUGAGGUAGGCGGAAUGAGACAAGUAGCGGUGAAAUGCAUAGAUAUGUCUCAGAACACCGAUUGCGAAGGCAGCUUACUAAGUCGUGAUGACGCUGAUGCACGAAAGCGUGGGGAUCAAACAGGA
rnacentral:rRNA from 1 species